rnacentral:misc_RNA from 1 species
GGUGCUCAAAUAAUGUAUCUUUAGAAAUCAACUCACUUUUGGGGUUAAAACGGGGGAUGGUAGGUUGACUCACUCACCACGAAAUCUCCGAAACUAUAACAGCUACAAACUUGAAAUUUGGCAGAUAAGUUUCUUAUAGGGCGUAGACAUUUGCUAAGAACUGAUUUUACGAAACUCGAACCUUAAAGGGAUAAAAUGGGGGUUGGAAGUUUG